rnacentral:lncRNA from 1 species
AACCCAACAAAACACAAUUCAAGAACUGCGAAUUAUCCUAAAAUCCAAGAAAAUGAUAAUUUGGAGAAUUAGAAAAAAGAAGGGAAAAUGAAACAAAAAUUAGGAAGGAUGAAAAUAUUAAAGAACAAGGAGGAAGUAAAAAUGGAAUGAUAAAAAAUGUAUACAAAACAAUUAAAACACAAAAUAAAAAGUAAACAUGUGGAAAUAAAAAGAAUAUAAAAACCAUAAAAAGGAAAAAAAAACAAGUUUGGGAAAAUUUAGAAAUAUUUCAAAAUAUUAUGG